UACGUAGGGUCCGAGCGUUGUCCGGAAUUACUGGGCGUAAAGAGCUCGUAGGUGGUUUGUCGCGUUGUUCGUGAAAACUCACAACUCAAUUGUGGGCGUGCGGGCGAUACGGGCAGACUGGAGUACUGCAGGGGAGACUGGAAUUCCUGGUGUAGCGGUGGAAUGCGCAGAUAUCAGGAGGAACACCGGUGGCGAAGGCGGCAUCCUGGACCGAGACUGACGCUGAGGAGCGAAAGCCAGGGGAGCAAACGGG
rnacentral:rRNA from 1 species